CAACUUUCAACAACGGAUCUCUUGGCUCUCGCAUCGAUGAAGAACGCAGCGAAAUGCGAUAAGUAAUGUGAAUUGCAGAAUUCAGUGAAUCAUCGAAUCUUUGAACGCACCUUGCGCUCUUGGGCUAUUCCUAAGAGCAUGCCUGUUUGAGUGUCUUGA
rnacentral:rRNA from 1 species